rnacentral:rRNA from 1 species
UAUGGUGCAAGCGUUAUCCGGAUUUACUGGGUGUAAAGGGAGCGCAGGCGGUACGGCAAGUCUGAUGUGAAAGCCCGGGGCCCAACCCCGGUACUGCAUUGGAAACUGUCGGACUAGAGUGUCGGAGGGGUAAGUGGAAUUCCUAGUGUAGCGGUGAAAUGCGUAGAUAUUAGGAGGAACACCAGUGGCGAAGGCGGCUUACUGGACGAUUACUGACGCUGAGGCUCGAAAGCGUGGGGAGCAAA